rnacentral:rRNA from 1 species
AGAGUUUGAUCAUGGCUCAGAACGAACGCUGGCGGCAGGCCUAACACAUGCAAGUCGAGCGCUCUCUUCGGAGGGAGCGGCGGACGGGUGAGUAACGCGUGGGAAUAUACCCUUCUCUACGGAAUAGCCUCGGGAAACUGAGAGUAAUACCGUAUACGCCCUUCGGGGGAAAGAUUUAUCGGAGAAGGACUAGCCCGCGUUAGAUUAGAUAGUUGGUGGGGUAAUGGCCUACCAAGUCUACGAUCUAUAGCUGGUUUUAGAGGACGAUCAGCCACACUGGGACUGAGACACGGCCCAGACUCCUACGGGAGGCAGCAGUGGGGAAUCUUAGACAAUGGGCGAAAGCCUGAUCUAGCCAUGCCGCGUGAGUGAUGAAGGCCUUAGGGUCGUAAAGCUCUUUCGCCAGGGAUGAUAAUGACAGUACCUGGUAAAGAAACCCCGGCUAACUCCGUGCCAGCAGCCGCGGUAAUACGGAGGGGGUUAGCGUUGUUCGGAAUUACUGGGCGUAAAGCGCACGUAGGCGGAUCAGAAAGUAAGGGGUGAAAUCCCGGGGCUCAACCCCGGAACUGCCUCUUAAACUCCUGGUCUUGAGUUCGAGAGAGGUGAGUGGAAUUCCAAGUGUAGAGGUGAAAUUCGUAGAUAUUUGGAGGAACACCAGUGGCGAAGGCGGCUCACUGGCUCGAUACUGACGCUGAGGUGCGAAAGUGUGGGGAGCAAACAGGAUUAGAUACCCUGGGUAGUCCACACCGUAAACGAUGAAUGCCAGUCGUCGGGUAGUAUACUAUUCGGUGACACACCUAACGGAUUAAGCAUUCCGCCUGGGGAGUACGGUCGCAAGAUUAAAACUCAAAGGAAUCGACGGGGGCCCGCACAAGCGGUGGAGCAUGUGGUUUAAUUCGAAGCAACGCGCAGAACCUUACCAACCCUUGACAUCCUGUGCUAAUCCCAGAGAUGGGACGUCCACUUCGGUGGCGCUGUGACAGGUGCUGCAUGGCUGUCGUCAGCUCGUGUCGUGAGAUGUUCGGUUAAGUCCGGCAACGAGCGCAACCCACAUCUUUAGUUGCCAGCAGUUCGGCUGGGCACUCUAAAGAAACUGCCCGUGAUAAGCGGGAGGAAGGUGUGGAUGACGUCAAGUCCUCAUGGCCCUUACGGGUUGGGCUACACACGUGCUACAAUGGUAGUGACAAUGGGUUAAUCCCAAAAAGCUAUCUCAGUUCGGAUUGGGGUCUGCAACUCGACCCCAUGAAGUCGGAAUCGCUAGUAAUCGCGUAACAGCAUGACGCGGUGAAUACGUUCCCGGGCCUUGUACACACCGCCCGUCACACCAUGGGAGUUGGUUCUACCCGACGGCCGUGCGCUAACCUUUCGAGGAGGCAGCGGACCACGGUAGGAUCAGCGACUGGGGUGAAGUCGUAACAAGGUAGCCGUAGGGGAACCUGCGGAUGGAUCACCUCCUU